GCAGGCAUGGUGGAAUUGGUAGACACACUAGAUUUAGGACCUAGUAACAAAUUGUUUUGUAGGUUCAAGUCCUACUGCCUGUA
rnacentral:tRNA from 1 species